rnacentral:lncRNA from 1 species
GAACUCAUAUCAAAACUUUUAGACUUAAGUAUACUCUUCUCUUACUCUUGCUUUCUCUAUAUAUCUCCUGCAGGCAACAUCUGGAUUUUGGCAUAUGUCAUCAGUGAGAAAAGUGUAUGUCGUUCUAUUGGUGCAACUUCCUUUUAGUCAUCUGGAACAAGUAAAGGAAGACUGUGCGGUAGUUCCACAUGUCAACCAGGUUGAAUUUCAUUCUUUCCAAAAGCUUAGAGAGCUACUAAUUACUGUCAAAAAAGAAAUAUUAUUUUCAAAGGCAACUGCCCAUUAGCCAGAGAAGAGGUGUUGAAUCAUCCCGAUGAAUCUGGCAAGGAAGCAUGGCAAAUCCCCAGCCCAGCUAUGCGUAGCUGGAGCAUUCAGGUAUGUGUAAUUCAGGACAGCCAUUCAGAAGCAUCCAGUGAGUGGGGGAGAUUGUUAAAAAAGAGUUCUGACAUAAGACUCAGAGGAGGAGCAGGUGAGGGAUGUAGGAAUUCUUAGCCUGGAGUAGAGAAUAUUUUGGGGAGACAUGAUUACUGUCUCCAGAUAUUUGAAAGGCCAUCCAGUGGAUGACAGAUUAGAUAUUUUAAAUGUGGCUCCAGAGGGCCAAACUAGGAUCAAUGGGAAGAAGUUAUAGGGAGGCAAAUGUCAG